UACAGAGGGGGCAAGCGUUGUUCGGAAUUACUGGGCGUAAAGGGCGCGUAGGCGGCCUGCUAAGUCGAACGUGAAAUCCCUGGGCUCAACCCAGGAACUGCGUCCGAUACUGGAUGGCUUGGAUUCGGGAGAGGGAUGCGGAAUUCCAGGUGUAGCGGUGAAAUGCGUAGAUAUCUGGAGGAACACCGGUGGCGAAGGCGGCAUCCUGGACCGGUAUUGACGCUGAGGAGCGAAAGCCAGGGGAGCAAACGGG
rnacentral:rRNA from 1 species